CACAAUCGUUGAGAUUACUAAGGCGUCAUCAUGUGGAAGUGAUACACCUUCUAAGUCCCCGGUCCCAAGAGUAAUAUCCUCCAGCUUUUCAUGAGGCAUCCCAGAGGCCAAGGCAUAUUGUCGGGCAUAUUGUUUUCUUCCAUUGUUGGAGUCUCCUCCCAAGACAAUAUCCCCAAUGAUGAUAUUGAUGGUUCCAGCAGUGGGUUGACCAUCCCUUUUUGCCUCAGGGGCUUUUUCCCUGCCACGAUCAUUCCUCGGGCGUUUGUCGUUACCGACGUAGGAACUCAAGAGUCUCCUUUUAAUAAGGGCUUCAAUCUCCCGUUGCAGGGCCUUACAGUUCUCCGUGGUAUGCCCAUGAUCCCGAUGGAACUCACAGUACUUGUUCAUGUCCCUGGAUUCGGGUGGUGACCUCAUUCUGACAGGCCAUUUGAGUUCCUUCAUAUCCUUGAUCUCCAUCAAUAUAUUGGUCUUUGACGUAUUUAAAUGCGUGAAUGACGUCGGGGGAACCUCCUGUCUCUAUUUUUUCCGAUGUUGUUCUUCACGGGGGUUCGGGUCGUGCUGUCGUUUAUGCUCGACCCUGUCAUGGGGUAAUCCAACCUUUCUCGGGUUCAGUGUUUCCUCCAUAUUUAUGCACUUCUCGGCUCGGGUAAGAAGCUCGGUCACUGUCUUUGGCGGAGUUUUGGAUAAAGACAUCUUGAAAGCCUCGCACUUUAUGGCAUAUGUGAGGGCAGAAACUGCUGUAGUUAUGUGUAGGUCGGGAAUCUGAAGUCUUUCCUUGUUGAACCUGGUCAUGAAGUCACGUAGGGUCUCAUUUUGCCCUUGUCUAAGUUGCAUGAGGGAAGCCGCUGUCUUCCUGAUGCGUUUACUGCUUGUAAAGAAAGCAGAGAACUUGUCCACCGAAUUCGAGAAUGAGGCUAUGGAGUUGGGCUCUAAGGUUGAGAACCAAUCCCUAGCAGCAUUCGUCAAAGUUUGCGGGAAGGUCUUGCACAUCACCUGAUAUGGUGAUACCUGUAGAUUCAUGACGUCCGUUUAUACGUUAAGAUGAUUGAUUGGAUCGGUGGUCCCAUCAUAUUCUUUGAUCCUGGGAUACUUAAAUCUGUCUGGCAAGGAGAAUGUCAAUAUCUCAGGAGUAAAGGGAGUGUUGGGACUGAAUCUUGUCGUCCCUUUGUUGCCCUAAAGUAGGCCCGCCGUAAUUCCUUCUUGAAUAAUCC
rnacentral:lncRNA from 1 species